rnacentral:rRNA from 1 species
GAGUUUGAUCCUGGCUCAGGACGAACGCUGGCGGAGUGCUUAACACAUGCAAGUCGAACGAGGUCCAAGGAGCUUGCUCCUGAAGACCUAGCGGCGAACGGGUGAGUAACACGUGAAGAACCUGUCCCGAAGAGGGGGAUAACAGUGGGAAACCACUGCUAAUACCUCAUACCUUUUUCUUUUCGCAUGGAGAGAUAAAGAAAUGAAUUUCGCUUCGGGAGGGCUUCGUGGGAUAUCAGCUUGAUGGUGGGGUAACGGCCCACCAUGGCUACGACGUCUAGCUGGUCUGAGAGGACGACCAGUCACACUGGGACUGAGACACGGCCCAGACUCCUACGGGAGGCAGCAGUGGGGAAUCUUGCGCAAUGGGCGAAAGCCUGACGCAGCAACUCCGCGUGUGGGAUGACGGCCCUCGGGUUGUAAACCACUUUCAGCAGGAACGAUAAUGACGGUACCUGCAGAAGAAGCACCGGCCAACUACGUGCCAGCCGCCGCGGUAAC